rnacentral:lncRNA from 1 species
CUAUUCUUUAGUAAACAUUGACUAGUCUUGUUCAGCUAUUAGCCCAACUUGCAACAAAUUGCUGUUCCCAUCUCAUUUCUUUCCCUCUUCCACGUGUCAUCAUUCAUCAUUGUCAGUGGCUCGCUUGUGGGCGUGCAGGCAGGAUAUGGCAGCAGCUUCGGUUGUGCGUCAAGAAUUCUGCAUACAGUAGCGCGUUUGUAGGAAUGUGUGGUUAUUCACAGGCAAAUUGUUAUGUGCUAUGGAGGUACAUUUGUGUCUUUUUGUCGAGAGCAAAACCUUUUUUAUUUUCAAUCAAAAAUAAUUGUUCUGAAAGCAACUUUUUUCCGACACAAAGGAAGUCAAAGCGGACACCUACGAAGAUGGCAUCUCAGUGAGCUGACCAAGGGGUCGAAAAUAUAGAUAUUGCCAGAUGUUCACUGUCUGAGGAACAGGCCGUGUAAGCUGUAUUGCUGGCAAAAGUGUCCAUAACCAGAGGUAAUUAAACUGUUCUGUGUUCUUUUUCUCCAACUCUGCCUGUCUUGUUUUACAUGGAACCUGUCUCACAUGCAUUCAUUAAAAAACCCUUAAGAUGUCAGCUGCUAAUUUUCAGAUUUACACCACAUAAACACAGCCCUUUUCACUGGACUAUCUGUUGCUGCCAAGUCAUGAUUUCCCUGGGGGUUAUAUUAGCCUUGCAAUAACCAAGUGGGGAGACACAUAGCCCUCUAUAUUUAAAUGUUUCAGGUACACUCCGAUAGGUGUCUGCGUCACAUACAGUAUCUUCUAUUGACAUUAUCUUCUAUUGUUUGUCCUCAUAUGUCUGUUUUUCAGCAUAAAGUACUCUCUAGCCACUUAGUGUGGACACCAGGUGAGACCACACACACAAUAACAGUCUCUCUUCUUCACUUCAUCCCUCUCUCCAUUCUCCCUAAACCCCUCCCGCAUCUGAACUGGCUGACACAGAGGGCAGGGCAUGAUCAUAGGUGAGAUGUCACUUGGUCGGGUCAACAGGAAGUAUUAUUAAAAAGAUGCUUUACAUUGAAAUACAGACAGAGAUGAAGUAGUCCCAGAGUUAAUGAUCCAAGGUCAGUUUUGCAUUUCACCUCCUGAUUAAGAUGACUGACCAUGUUAGAAUAAAAAAACAAGGCUUAAUAAUCAUGUUCUCUCUCUAUCCAUCUGUCUCUCGUCUGCAGGUAUGUUAUGAUGUGAGAGAGGAAGCCAGUCCCGUCAUCGCCACCUCACCCGCUCUUAAUAUACCUUUUGGGCCAACUGGGGGCCAAAGGCUGGUUAGGAAACACCGCAAUUGUGAUGAACUGAGAGGAUAUUAGGGUAGCACUGAAAUUCAUGAGUCAUAUGCUGUCUGCCGCUGUUCUUACCUCUUUCUCUUUCUGUCUUCUACACCUCUCACCUCAUCUUUCUUCCUCGUUUUAUAAUGCACACCAUAUGUGCAUUGAAGUACAGAUUGAACUUGUAUUUAUAAUAUAGUAUUACAAUUAUCAUAAUUAUAAUGCAUUUAUGUAUUUAUAACACCUGGAUAAUGAACUUUUUUCAAUAAAGCAUUUCACAUUCUCC